AACUAAAGCUAAUUGUAGUCGCUCUCAACAGUAGAGAAGCAAAAGGCCAGACUCUUCAAAGUCUUUGUAAAGGGCCAGAACAGGAUGGAUGGUAUUAAGGAAUUAUUAAUACUUACUGAGCUCUUGCAGAUAAUGAAAAGUUAAUCUGCUUACAGAACCUUGGCAACACCAAAAAAAAAAAACCAACAACCCAAUGACUCUUUUAAGAUGCUGAAGAUUACCUAAAAAGGCCUGUCAGCAGAACCAUGACACGCGUAGAUGUGGUGCCUGAUGCUCCCUGGCUGAGGAUUCUUUCUGACGAAAUACAAGCUGUGACUAAAGCUGCCCAUGAACUGCAAGGAAUCAGAGCAGAACUGGAAAAAGCCCAGAAAAAUGUGAAACUUGUACAUGGUCAUCCCAAUGCAGCAGUGUCCCCAUGGAAGAUGAUUUCUUGGGAUUCGGACAAGAGAGAAUAGACAAGCUUGGAAAUGUCAUCCUUUCUCAUGACUUAAAGUAACCAAAAUAAUUUUUAACAGAAUUAACUUUUGGCCUUUAAGUAAGUGUCUUUCUGAUAUUUGAAUUUGUAAUGCAGAACAGUGUAUUAAAAAAAAUUGCUUGACAUCACAUUGCUUGACUCUGUAAGCAAUACAUUUGAAGGCAUUUAUUUCAUGGCUAUCCAAAUAUAUAUAUAUGCUGUUUUCUUUUACAGAUCUUUUUUUUUCUCUCUCUCAAAGGACUUUUGAAAAAUCACUUCACAAUGUUAUGUUGAGAGUUGGAAUGGACAAAAUCAGAAUGAUGGAGCCAUCCAAGCCAAAAACAGUAAUCUUCUUAAUCAAGAUUAUCCUUUAAGACUGCAGGAAGACUGGGAGGACAUCUCAUUUGCUUUCUCUUCUUCCCGCAGCCUCCCACCAUGAUUGGUAUUAUAACUGAUCUUCAAUUACUAAUGUUAUUAUUGAUUUUCAGUGGUGAAACUUGAUCAUUAGUUAUCUUUCAAAUUGCCAUUAGUUUCUUUGCUAUAUUUAAUUUUUAAAAUUCUUUUCAGUAUAAUGAAUAUUUAUUUUACUCUUACUAUCACAGCCUUUUCAGAUUUACUUCUUUGACAUACUCUCAUCUGUAAGUAGCAUCCUAGUUAUAACCUUAACUGUUAUGAAUGUUUUCUAUCUUGGAACUGUACAUAAUUAUUUCUGUUACAAGAUAUAACAUGAACUUUAAAAGAGGUAAAAGUUUCAUGAAAGUAAUCUCAUUAUUAUUUAAUAGUGUUCCCAUAAACGUAUAUAGUAUUCCUAAAAUAUUAAUUUGUUUUUUAAAACUUUAUCAUACCUGAUAAAUCAACAUGGAUUCCAUAAGAAAUAUUUCAAGAUGACCUGAAAGUUAAUGAGUUACUAAGCUAGGUUCAAAGCUCAAGAAACCCAUGAAAUGUUAUGAGAAACACUUAAGUUUGCAAGUCUUGGAAAAGAAUUAAUUUUAUGACAAAAAAUAAAAUAGCACGCAGUUAUAAACAUGAGUUUUCGUUUAACUUAUUUUUAUCACCUCAAAUCACUAUUCUCAUUCCACACUUCUUUAAAGCACUGAUGUUUGAUAGCAUCAGAGCAAAUUAAACAAGAUGAUGGCUGGCUGAAGUCAUUGAACAAAUGAUUUUUAUUAAUAAAAUAUCAGCUGUCAUUAUACAUUAUGAUUGAGAGGAAAUAUAAAAAUAUGACUCCCACUGGUUGUAACAUUAAUUGCUUAAAAUCUUGUCACUGUAAAAAUUUUAUAUACUGUAGGAUUUUUAGUUUAUACAACUAAAAUUUAUGGUGAUACACCACUAACAUUUAGACCAUUAUUUAAAAUAAUUACGUGUUCUUUGUGGAAGAAUGACUUUAUCUCUAGAAGACAAGACUCAACCAUAAAUAUGGUGUAUAUUUUUUUUUCAUGAUUCUUGCAGAUAGCCAAGGUUCAGGGAAUAAAUAAAAGUGUCUUAGAAAUAUGAUUGGAAAUACAAAAUUUUUCAAGACAUUUUUAAGACUUAAAACACUACACUUGAUUGCAUAUCCAUUCAUUCCACACUUAUCUAUUAAGUUAAUAUUGGCUAUCCUCUUGGGAUACUUUAGUUAAUAAAAUGUUCUUUUUUAUAUUUACCCUUUCUAUUUGUUACCUGUUUAGAGUACAGGUAGAAACUUUCUGUGAAACAUAUUUACAAAUAGUCUUUAAAAGUCUGGUAUUGUGUUUCAUAAAGUUAUUCUUACAGCUGUUUUUCUCCCCUCAAAUGAGCACCCAGUUACUUGAAAAGAUUUAACUACAACAGCAACGACCCCCUCGAUUUUUAUAGUUUUAAGCCAUUUCCCACAAAUUUCGGGAACACUAAAAAAUAUUUUCAAAAUGCACGUCUCAAAAUUUAAAGUAUAUGUUAUUUCAUACAGGAUUCUUUGAUUUUUAUAAGUAAUUUUAUUGCUGUUUUUUUACAACAUGUUGGCAUAGUACUGUUUGCUAAUAAUUUAUUUGAAAGGAUGCCUCAUAACAUGGUAAAAGGUGACAUGGUGACAUUUUAACAUAGACUUUUCCUUGUGUUUUUUACCUCAUUAAGAGGUUUUUUGUGUCUGUAGUACAGUUGAUUAUAACAUUGGAAUAAUCAUAGGUUUGAUUUCUGUGUGGGUUGCAUGGUAUAAGUCCCUCAUUGGCCUUUAAUUGAAGCCACUAAUUAUCUUUCAAAUGCUAAAGGCAAGAUGUUGGAUUGAUAUCUUAAACCUUGAAAGCCUACUAAAAACAGAUGCUGGAGUUAUGAUGGCCACUAUGAAGUUUAUAUACAUUUAUAAAGUAUCCUAUCAUUAAUAUGAAUGUCUUAAUAAAUGUUUUAAUGU